CGCUAUUGCCCACUUCGGGCGUUUCCUCCCUAGACUUGGGCCGUUCUUUGGUGAGCGGCCCCUUUGUUCUCUAAGC
rfam:Alphaproteobacteria bacterium 64-6 SCNpilot_expt_1000_bf_scaffold_3247, whole genome shotgun sequence.